rnacentral:rRNA from 1 species
AACGAACGCUGGCGGCAGGCUUAAUACAUGCAAGUCGAGCGCGUAGCAAUACGAGCGGCAGACGGGUGAGUAACGCGUGGGAAUCUACCGUACCCUAUGGAAUAGCUCCGGGAAACUGGAAGUAAUACCAUAUACGCCCGAAAGGGGAAAGAUUUAUCGGGGUAUGAUGAGCCCGCGUUGGAUUAGCUAGUUGGUGGGGUAAAGGCCUACCAAGGCGACGAUCCAUAGCUGGUCUGAGAGGAUGAUCAGCCACAUUGGGACUGAGACACGGCCCAAACUCCUACGGGAGGCAGCAGUGGGGAAUAUUGGACAAUGGGCGCAAGCCUGAUCCAGCCAUGCCGCGUGAGUGAUGAAGGUCUUAGGAUUGUAAAGCUCUUUCACCGAUGAAGAUAAUGACGGUAGUCGGAGAAGAAGCCCCGGCAAACUUCGUGCCAGCAGCCGCAGUAA